GGUUUCGGUUCCCCCGCGAGGGGGCCAAGAGGGAAUCAGGUGAGAAUCCUGAACAGUCCCGCUGCUGUGAGUUCCAGUUAGUUAGCACAGCUUUCAAGACAAGUCACUGUGGCGCCAGCAGGUGCUGCGGGAAGGCGAAAAAGCUGUUGCGGAACGAGUCAGAAGACCUGCCGCGACCAU
rnacentral:ncRNA from 1 species